GGCCUGGGCGGCGGGGCCUGGGCGGCGGGGCCUGGGCGGCGGGGCCUGGGCGGCGGGGCCUGUGCUGGUGCAGAAGCAGUCCUGCAGGCCUGAGCGUGGGAGCCCAAGAACGGAGCGAGGACACGUCAUCCGUGCCUGAGCCCACAUGCUGCUUGGGCAGAGCAGUCCAUAUGGUUUCCAGAGGAAGAUUCCAAUGAGCUGAGGAUGGAGAUUCGGGCAGUACAUGGAGCCGGGAAGUUGGGAAAAAGACUCACUUCAGACCCAAGCCGACCCCGCGCAGUGGGUGGGUGCUGGGGGCCAGUCAUCUUCCUUGUUUCAGAUCCAGGGCACAUGUUCCCUCCUUACCGGGUUCACGCUGCAGCUUAACCAUUGCCCACAAUCCUGCCUGGGCCUGCAUCCUGGCUCUCAUGCUCACUUGGCGAAAAUCUCAGUCCUGGUGAGAGCCGCCUUUCUGCCACACACACCUGCGCCUGGCCAGCUGGAGGCGCUGGAGAAAACACCAGAGAAAACACCAGCGGUGUGCAUCACCGCCCUGAAGCUCCUGCUCAACAGCUUGCGUGUGGCCUUGAUGCUCUGGUCCCCUGGCUCCCCUCUUAGCUGCGCAUUCCACACAUUCUCCCCUCUCCUCGAGCCCACACCUCCUCCCCUCUGCUCUCGAUUGGCUGAUGACACUGCCUCCUACUUCUCUGAGAAAUGGAAGCAAUCAAAAGCGAAUUUCCACAGCCUUGUGACACGUCGCCCGCCUCCCGGCAUCUGUCUGUUACCACAAUGAGCUGCCCUGUUCCUGCCGAAAGCCAGACCGUCUCCAUGUACGUUGAGUCCAGACUCCUCUCGUCUGCUCCCAGACAUCACCCCGUUCUGCAGGUUGGAAGUGUGAAAUCAUCGUGUCGGCAGGGCCUCACUCCAUCUGGAGCUUCUAGAGGAGGAUCCGUUCCUCACCUCCUCCAGCUGCCCGUGGCUCCAGGCAUUCCUUGGUUUGCGGCCGCAUCACUCCACUCUCUGUCUCUGUCUUCACAUGGCCUUCUCCUUUGAGUCUCCUCCCCUCCUCUUACCAGGGGAGGAUUUAGGGCUCAAUCCUAAUCCAGGAUGAUCUCUUCUCAAGAUCCUUAACUUCUGUAAAGACCCUUUUUGCAAAUAAAGUCAUGUUCACAGUUUCCAGCGGGCAAUCUUUUGGGAGACUGCCAUUCGAACCACUGCACCUCUCCCGUUUCAAAUUUGAAAAACACGCCACACUGUAGGGCCUGGGAUCUGGCUUCCUACAGCCAACAAGGGGACAGGCAAAGCAAGCUGGAUGUGUGAGGAAGUAACUCCCAACUGACGAAGCUUGACCAAUGGAAAACAAGAGAAAGAAGAAACCAGGGAGAUGAAUCUCGCCCUCCCUGGCCCUCCUCCCACCCCGCUGAAGAAGGCUUACAUGUUCCAGCAAGCCUGCCAGCCAAGCUGCCCAGCUCUUCCAAGCUCUUCCUGAAGACAACGCCUUCACCCCCUUCUUCUUCCCUCACCUCGCUUCCCACUGUGGCUCAUCCACACCUCCCAGGGCUUGUGCUCUCAAAUAAAUUGUUAGCACCUUAUUCCCUGUCUCAAGCUUUGUUGUCUACAGGAAUCAAGCUACAACUCUAGCCGCCUAUGCCCUGAGUUUCCAUUGAACGGGAAGUGGCACCCUGAUCUCCUCAGAUACGUUCUUGUUUCCUGUGCCCCUUGUUUCCCACCACAGCUGAUUGAGUGAGAGGUCUGUAGGCUGCCUCCUGCCCUGUUGGAAGCUGUGUGAUGGACACAGCCAGCAGAGUGAGGAGAAGCAGGAAGGCCGGG
ensembl:lncRNA